AUUGAACGCUGGCGGCAGGCCUAACACAUGCAAGUCGAGCGGAUGAGUGGAGCUUGCUCCAUGAUUCAGCGGCGGACGGGUGAGUAAUGCCUAGGAAUCUGCCUGAUAGUGGGGGACAACGUUUCGAAAGGAACGCUAAUACCGCAUACGUCCUACGGGAGAAAGCAGGGGACCUUCGGGCCUUGCGCUAUCAGACGAGCCUAGGUCGGAUUAGCUAGUUGGUGGGGUAAUGGCUCACCAAGGCGACGAUCCGUAACUGGUCUGAGAGGAUGAUCAGUCACACUGGAACUGAGACACGGUCCAGACUCCUACGGGAGGCAGCAGUGGGGAAUAUUGGACAAUGGGAGAAAGCCUGAUCCAGCCAUGCCGCGUGUGUGAAGAAGGUCUUCGGAUUGUAAAGCACUUUAAGUUGGGAGGAAGGGCAGUAAGCUAAUACCUUGCUGUUUUGACGUUACCGACAGAAUAAGCACCGGCUAACUCUGUGCCAGCCGCCGCAGUAAAAC
rnacentral:rRNA from 1 species